GGGAUAUUUAGGCCAACAGCAACUUAUCUUGACUUCCUUACUUCCAAAUGAGGCAGACUACCGCAGAAGGCACCAGAACUUCUCCAGUUCAAGAUGUCUCUUGUGACGUUGCUUUUGAAAACCUGAUACCUGAAUAGAAUUCAUUCCUCUUUAGCCACUACCAAAAGGUCUGCCUUCCAUGCUUAUUUGCUGAAGAUGAUGGCCAGAAGCUGCCUCCAACCUCCUGCUAUGUUCCGGCACUACACACCUGAGCCGAGGUACUUUCGCACACGGUGUCUCCUCAGAUAUUGGACAGGAAUUUCCUCCCACGCCACCAACAGAAGAACAAACCACAUGAAAAUGGAAUGAGUCCUAAGACACUGAAUAUUUCCCCUCCCCAUCCUGGAUAUUUACAAGCAUUCUUUGCUGUCAAAACAAUGUUCGUACAAACCAGUGAUUGUGCUGGGGUAUUUCAGUAUAAGCAUGUGGCUAGAUAUAUAGAGAAACACUCAGAAAACAACUUUCUUAAACAAAUAAACAGCUGAGCUCUUGAACUUUAUGCUCACAGUAAUCUGCCAUCAUUAAUCCCACUCAGUGUUUGACAUAGCAGCCUAAAUGAGGAAGGCAUGGAGAGCAGGGGAGUAGGGUUGAAAAAGGUCAUAACCUUCUGUUUAAACUAGCUGAGAACCAUUUUCUUAAACCUGGAAUAUAGGAUGGGCCAGAUCCAUCUGCUCAGGAGCGUCAAUCUUGUGAGGAAACAGACCUGAUAUCUUUGGCAUGAGUGUUGCUAGAAGUAUAUGGAUGGCAUUCAUAGUUAAUUGCUAAAAGCCCAAAAGUCCCUUACAAGAAGAUUCCAUAGGCCAGCAUAGCUUUUGUAUCAUAACUGUUCAGAGUCUCUUUCUGUUUAAAAAAUGAUAAAAACACAAUCCAACUCCUAAGAAAGAGAGUUUCUGCAUUAAGAAGAUGCUUAGGGAAAAGGAUCAUUUCAGAAGUCUUGAAGAGGACUACAAACUACUGUUUCAAGCAGUACCCUUGAUUUUCCUAAGAAAAGUCUCUCACCUAUAGUCACAAAUCCAGGUGGAGAAGCUGAGGUAGUCCCCAUUGUCAACAUGUAUUAUUCUCCUAUGACACCAGAACAUUACUAAUUUAUACACAAGUUACUGGAGUCAUUCACAUUAUUUUCUUUGGGAAGGGGGAAGAAGAGAAGAUGGCUGCUGAAGAGGUUGGGUGGGGAAAGAGAUGCAGGCAAGGAAAACUGAUUAUUAUUGCUGCUAACAAAACUUGCUCUUUUUUCCCUCAUUGUCAAAUAGUGCUGUUCAGCUGAUGAAAACCAGAUGGGCCCUCAGACAUUUGAUGAAGCAAUACGGUCCACAUGCUGAAUGCUAACAUGAAGCAAAGGUGCUAAUUACUGGCUUGUAGGUUAAAAAAAAAGAAUGUUCCACCUGCACGCUAUAACUUCUGAACCUUCAUUUGCUAGGAACAGGAAAACUAUAAUGUAAACAACCUGUCCCACUCAUUGUUCUUUUAUGAGGGAAAAUUUGAAUUUUAAGGCAGAUUACAACCCUCAGUGACAGAAAAAUCUAUGCAACUGGAUUUGUCCAUUGAACAGAUUGAAGAAUCAAACCAUUUCUAGGUAGAGAGAGUAGCUGAUGCCUAGUCUGGGACCAGCCAUGUCCCUUAGUAUUGCCUCAGCCUGGGCACAAAUAGAUCCUGAAAACCUUUAGCCUCCAGUAAAAAAAAAUUAACAGAGUCCUAGAGCCUUAGCAGAUAGGCCUGAUUCCCAGUGCAGCAAGUGAGCCAUGGACCCCCGCAUGGGGGACUUUCAUCCCUGCUGACUUACUGCUGCUGAUGGAGCUUGCUUUGCUGCUGAUAUGCAGCAACUGAUUGACUUGUUUGCUGUCACAAACAACACAUGCUUACUGAGGAAGCUACAGAAGCUGGGAAGGUGACAGCCCUUCCCUCUCCAUGAUUAGUGUUAUGUCUCAUGGUGCACUGUAGAAUAAUUAAACCUUGAAUUGAA